ACAGAAGAAAUGUGUCUGAGUGCUCGGCUGGGGUUUAGGGGCAAACUGAAAAACUAGAGUUCAUGGGUGAUCAAUAGGCUUCCUGAUGGCGAUCGGGGAGAUCUCAAUCAACCACACAAACCCAUCUUCGUCAAGGGCACAUGGUUCGAGUCCCGCUUCGACCUCUCCAUCACCGACGGCCUCAACGCCUGGGUCUGCCAUGCCUCCGAAGACGCGGUUAGAGACCGAGCCACCCAGUGGGACCAGCCGGUAUAUGAGUACGUCUCAUUAGCCGAGCGCUAUAUAGGGUUUCAGCACUCUGAUUCUGUCUACGGAUUCACUGACGCUGGCAAUGGCCACAGAAGGUUGUCAUGGACUUUUGAGAAGGAAGGGACGAAGCUAGAAUGGCGGUGGAAGUGUCAACCAUCCCCUAACAGUAAGGAAACAACAGCUACAGUGUUGGAUUUUUUGAUGGAUGCAAAUGUUGGGCCAAGUUUUCUUGGGGUCUUGAAUUUAAAGAAGGCUAAACUAAGAGAGCUUCGGGACAAGCUCUCAAAACAAGAAGCGGCUGGGAAACUCACACUUGUCCAUCCAAAUUUUAGCAUGUUUCUAUCUAGUAGGUCUCGAGGUCGAAAG